rnacentral:rRNA from 1 species
UGGUCUUAGCUUGCUAAGGCUGAUGGCGACCGGCGCACGGGUGAGUAACACGUAUCCAACCUGCCGUCUACUCUUGGACAGCCUUCUGAAAGGAAGAUUAAUACAAGAUGGCAUCAUGAGUUCACAUGUUCACAUGAUUAAAGGUAUUCCGGUAGACGAUGGGGAUGCGUUCCAUUAGAUAGUAGGCGGGGUAACGGCCCACCUAGUCUUCGAUGGAUAGGGGUUCUGAGAGGAAGGUCCCCCACAUUGGAACUGAGACACGGUCCAAACUCCUACGGGAGGCAGCAGUGAGGAAUAUUGGUCAAUGGGCGAGAGCCUGAACCAGCCAAGUAGCGUGAAGGAUGACUGCCCUAUGGGUUGUAAACUUCUUUUAUAAAGGAAUAAAGUCGGGUAUGUAUACCCGUUUGCAUGUACUUUAUGAAUAAGGAUCGGCUAACUCCGUGCCAGCAGCCGCGGUAAUACGGAGGAUCCGAGCGUUAUCCGGAUUUAUUGGGUUUAAAGGGAGCGUAGAUGGAUGUUUAAGUCAGUUGUGAAAGUUUGCGGCUCAACCGUAAAAUUGCAGUUGAUACUGGAUAUCUUGAGUGCAGUUGAGGCAGGCGGAAUUCGUGGUGUAGCGGUGAAAUGCUUAGAUAUCACGAAGAACUCCGAUUG